rnacentral:lncRNA from 1 species
GUAGGGGAGUGUGGGUGGAUGGGUAUGGGGGACUUUUGGUAUAGCAUUGGAAAUGUAAAUGAGGAAAAUACCUAAUAAAAAAUGGAAAGAAAAAAAAAAAAGAAUGUCACAAGUUCAAAGUCAGCCUAAGUUACCUAGCAUGAUUCUGAAGGGAGAAGCCACUUACUUCGUCACAAGAAAAAAGUAAUUAUAAGCAACAAAUCAAGAAAAAUAAUUGUGUUGUCAUGGGUUAGAGGAGAAAUUUGGCAGGUAAAUAUUAAGACUACUUGGUUUUGUUAAAUAAGUUUUACAUAAGACAUAUAAUUAUUACUUUUAUUGUUGGAAAUUAUAGCAUUCCCACCAAGCCUUUCCACGUACCCGAACCUGUUUUCCCUCAGCUUUGUGGUGUCUGUCUUCACUAAGUGUCCAUACAUAUCUACAUGUUCUCCUGAGUACAGUCUCCUCAGCCUAUACAUUAUUACUACAUGUAUGUUUUCAGGGCUGACCACUUGGUAUCCAUACCCAGCCAGUACUUUUCACUGGAGAAGCCUGUCUCUCCCCGUCAGCAUUUGUAGUAGCCUGUUGUCAUUGGUGUGUUCCUCCUGUCCACAUCAGACAUGUCUGUUGUUGUCCUUGCUCAGUUAGUUGUAGCUUCUGAUAUUAUGAGGAGACACAUCUAUCUCGUAGUAAGCUCCCUGAACCUCAUGCUCUGCCCUCUGCCCUACAAUGUCCCUGAGCCUUAGGUGCUGGAUAUUAUUAUUAUUUUAAUAUUAUUCUGUAGAUGUAUUCCAUUGGAACCUGACUCCACAGUGGAUCUGUAGUGGUUUUCUGUAACAUUUUUCAUCUGUUGCAAAGAGAAGUUUCCUUGAUGAGGGGCGAGGACUAGACGUAUCUUUGGUAUAAGGAGAGAGAUUUAAGAUGUAGAGUUUGUGCUGGUUUAGUGAGGUGAUUGUAGCUCCUUCAAGAUUGAUGUCUUCACUGGCACUGGGGAGGUGGCCAAGUCCAGAACCAGGAAUGGUUUCCUUCCUUCUGAGCAGGACUCAUGAAGACAAAUAACUCUAAGAACCAGUUUUGAUUUUCUGUUUAUUUUGGCUCAAUAUUGAAGGUACUAUGAAGGUCAAUUGCUAGUUGAAGUAAUAGGGAAAUGUUUUAAAACACUUUAAAGGAUAAAACUUUUUGAAAUACGUUAAGGGAACAUGACCAUAAGAAGUAUUGCCUAAAUAAAAGCACAUUAUAGCAACGCGGAUUUUAGGGGCUCUUCAUAUUGGAUUUAACAUAAUUUAUUCUAAUGGCAGUAACUUAUACAGUUGAUUUUCUGGUGAAAUACAGUAUUGAUAAUUAGAAAGAAGUCACCUUCUCCGAUGGAACACUAUUUCUUUCAAACAUUUCGUAUUUGGUUGUAGUUAAAAUUGUUUCAAAAAGAAAGUGGGUUCUGGAUUGCAAGCAUGCCCUCUAGUGGACAUUCUGUGGAACUUUCCUUAGAAGUCAAUUUGUAGUGCCAGGCGCAGAAGGAAGCAUUCAAGCCACCCUUCAGAAACUGGGCUUUAACUUCAAUUUAACUUUGCAGAACAAUGCUUAGUAUAUUACAAAGCAUAAUGGAAAAUGGUCAUAUUUGUGUAAAUAUGUCAUAUAUAAUUUUUAAAAAUUUUAAAGUUUAACACUUUAAUGUUAGAAUUUUACUCUUUAAAUUCAUUUUCCAUAAAUAACUAUUAUAAAAAUCUUGAAACAAAGACAAAAUAUACUCAUUUUUUCCAUUUAGUAAAUCUGGUUAAUGAAUAUUUCCAUUUUAGACUUUAUAUAGAAACAUGGAAACAGAUUUUUCCCUCUGUUUUCUGUCCUUUAACUUUUUAUGGUUUUUUUUCCCCCCUUCCUAUUCAGUCUUUCAGAGUUCUGAUCAAAUUAACAACAAUUCUCUAUUCCAAAAAUACCCAAUUUCUGUAUAAAAAUACCCAAUUUCUGUAUACAAGUUCUUAUUUUCUCUCAAGAAUCUUAGGAUAAGGAAAUGAUGCUUUCUCCUGUCUGGCUUGGCUUGGUUUGGUUUGGUUUGGUUUUGCUUUGCAUUUACCCCCUGUGUGGCUCUGCUUUGAAGUUUGUCAGAGAUCAGUUGCUGGUAUUGGUGGUGGGAAAAGCCAUUAGUGCACAGUAGCUAGUCCCACUAUAAAUUCAGGAUCUUUGCCAUUUCUCAAAGGAUCACUUAUUUAUUCUUCUUCACUGAGGUAUUUAAUACUUAAUCAUAUUGUUUUUGUGUUGACUAAUAAUUUCUUACACUGAAAAGCUGUAAAACCACUGGUCAAAUUUGUGUUUUCAAAUGUUAAAGACCUAAGGGGUAGUGGGAUUUAAAUCACAGUUGGUGUCACCCAGCAAAUGAACAGCCCUUAAAACCUGGCUUCCCAAUGUCCAGCUUGAAGCCAUGUUUGUUGCAAGUGCCCAUGUGGGUAAGUGUGCAUCCUCUGAGUUGAGACGUCUUAUGCCAGUUGUUGUGUCUUAGAGACAGCCUCCUGGGUAUUGCCAUUGCCAGCUGCUCAUAGUCUCUGGACAACAAGCAAGAGUGGACCCUAAAGUACUGUUUCUGGGAUGAGUAUUUUGCCAAACCAGGGAUCACUUCUGAUUUCCUGCAUUCUAUUUGUCAACUGAAUGAUUUUUUUUUAAAGU